rnacentral:lncRNA from 1 species
GGAUGAGGAGGAUGAGGGUUUGCGGGAGGAAAAGCUUUGGAGAGAUGGGGUGCGGGACUAUGGAACCCGCUUGAGUCCAGUAGGCCAGCGCGGGUCAUUUCCAUAAGAAAGCCGCAACCCAGCUGGAGGCUGCGGUUCUUCAUGGCCUCCCUGCCCCCACCAUCAUUGGCAGCGUGUCGCGGGCUUCUCUGCAGCCUAGAUCUAGGCGACUGGUGUGGAUUGGUGUUGAUGAGAUGUGGCUUCCAGCGUUGCCCGACUCAGACCUGUUUCCAGUCUGGAUGGAGCGGACCGACUGUGUGGGAUGGGGUGAGAGGAACAAGUGAAACUCAACAGCUAAGGAGAAAAUGAAGAACUAGUGCUACGUUUUCCACGUUCUUUUUGCUCCGGGGUUGACAUGGCAUUUGGUGAGUCUUUCCUGAGACUGUGGCUGUCUGGAGAGGGGAAAGUAUCAGAGAAGUUUUACCAGUCUUAAGGCUACCUCCAGGAGGCUGUCCACCACUUCCCUCUGUCUCCAUGCCAGCCUCUUGUUAUCCCCAAGUGGAAAUCCCUGCUCAGUUGUGUGUGCAAGGCUUGGGGCAAAGGAGGAAAUUAAAUUGCUGUCCACAGUAAGAAAAACGGAGCAACUUACAAAGAAAGGCUCUUCCGCCUCUAGGAAAGAGGCAAGGUGAGCAGUGGUGCAGUUGGAAGGGGCCAGUUAUUUCUUAUGUCACCUCUGCUCACAGUCCUGGCUUUCUAGAGAAUCUGGGUGUCCAGGGCAAGGAGAAUGAAGUCUGUCUUGCUCAAGACACCUACCCAGAUCCUCAGCUCCUGGGUGGAAGCCCACAGUCCCAACAUGCAUCUACUUCUGAGAUACCUGCCAGGCUGCUGUGGGCAUAGAUGGCUAGGCUGUGUGGCCCACACUUGAGCUGCUUGGGAUUAGCAGCCCCUCUGCUCAGCAGCGUUAAAGCUUUUGAUUAUUUCUGAGCACUGGGUGGCCUCUUCCCUUAUGAGAAGUCCGUGGGCCUCCUCCCCACUCCUAUUAUGUCAGAGUUAAUUGCUCUACAGUGGGGUGUCUCUCAUGGUGGGUUGGCCAAGAAGUGCAACAGGGAAGGACAGUGUCCUCCACAGGUAAGAGUUGACGUGGAAUUCUCUCUGUCUUUGAUAUCCAAAGGGCACUGAAAUUGAAACUUCCUUUG